ACCCACUUUAUUAAGAUACAUUAUAUACAAUAAAGGCAAUAAUAUACAAGGAAUCUAUGGUACGAAUAUGCUAUAAUUUACAAUAGUUUUGGUUAAGAUAGCAUCAGCUAAGGAAAAUGGAAAUCAAUUUACCGAUUUUAGCGCUAAUGAAAAUGGUUUUGGAUGCAUCCAAAACCAAUCCCUAGACAAAUGCAAACAAAUUAGGCAAUUCAUAGAUAAUUUACAAUAGUUUUGGUUAAGAUAGCAUCAGCUAAGGAAAAUGGAAAUCAAUUUACCGAUUUUAGCGCUAAUGAAAAUGGUUUUGGAUGCAUCCAAAACCAAUCCCUAGACAAAUGCAAACAAAUUAGGCAAUUCAUAGCUCAUGAGAAUGGUUUUGGAUGCGUCCAAAACCAAACCUAUAGGAAAAUGCAAAUCAAU